ACUGUGGCCUGAAUGAGGGAUUGUGUGGUGGCCCAGGCCCUCUUCCAGGGAGCUGCUGGGCCAACUCCCCAGGGAGGAGGCAGUGUCCCUGCCCUUGAGAAUGUCCUCAAAGGGGAAGCAGUAGGAGGACACCAAGGGGUCCUGGCAGCCUCAGGCAGGAAAAGUUAGGAAGGCAGAUCUUUCCCGGCCCAGAGAUGGAAGAGUGCUGGGACUACAGGCAUGCACCUAUCAGAAAUGCACCAAAACCAUCUCUUUCUGAGUUCAUGGCACAGGAUCCCCGCCCCCAGCUCCAGCGAGCAGAGUGGCAGCUAGGCCUUUUACAAAGAUAAUUGCCUGCCCAGCCUUCCCAGGCCAUCUCUCCUCCUGACCUUUCCAGGCAAGGAAGCCAAGGAUUCAGCUUUGGAUACAGCAUUA